AUACGGAGGGUCCGAGCGUUAAUCGGAAUUACUGGGCGUAAAGCGCGCGUAGGUGGUUCAGUCAGUCAGAUGUGAAAGCCCCGGGCUCAACCUGGGAACUGCACCUGAUACUGCUGAGCUAGAGUACGGUAGAGGGCAGUGGAAUUUCCGGUGUAGCGGUGAAAUGCGUAGAGAUCGGAAGGAACACCAGUGGCGAAGGCGAGUGCCUGGCCGGGUAUUGACAUGGAGGUGCGAAAGCGUGGGGAGCAACCAGGAUUAGAUACCCUGGGAGUCCACGCCGGAAACGAUGUCAACUAGCCGUUGGGGGACUUGAGCCUUUGGUGGCGAAGCUAACGCGAUAAGUUGACCGCCUGGGGAGUACGGCCGCAAGGUUAAAACUCAAAUGAAUUGACGGGU
rnacentral:rRNA from 1 species